GCGUCGCUAUGGAGAAAGAUGCCGGAAGUAGCGACUGUAACGGUGAGAGCAAACAGCUGAGUGUUUAUCCAACACUUUGUAUGACUGUAAAGAAGAAUAAAGUAACUUUUCUCGGACUAUUUCCCUCAACGCGACGCCGUAUUGAAGUUGUUGCUGUAGUCUCGUGCGCGAUAGCUCAAACACGCGGCUGCCGUGAUUUGUUCACGCGCCGUUGUCUUCAUUCAUAGAAAAACUACAGACUCACUCACAAUAGACUGUAUCCUUCCUCUAUAAGGUUCUACUUUAUUCUGGCAUUUGAUAAACUGAUAGUUAGUUACUUACAGCCUUUGGAACUUAUAAGAGGUUCAACAGUUUAGUCAAACUUGUAUUGUGUGUCCACUGUAGUGUUUGAUGAAGUGGUGAAUUGGCUAUGAGGGAGGCCACAAAACAAGGAUUUUUUGUAUUGUAGUGAGUUUUGGUAGACAUGGGACCAUCUAAAAAAUGGUGACACUAUAUAACUAUAUAUAUACUAUAUUAUAUCAUAUUAUCACGAUAAUCAUGAAAAUAUACUUAAUACUUUUAACAUGGCACUAAAACAUACUGGAAUCAAUUUACCUUAUAUUUUGUUAAGAAACAUAGAUUUACUGCGUCCAGACAGUCACCUCAUUUCCCUGUUCUUUCUUUUGGUAUUUCCAUCCAUCCAACAGGCAGUCCGAGCCUUCAGCCAUGGUGACAGGGUUAGGAUUUUGGAAUGACUGGAAAGAGGAAUUUUGAAAAGUAAUCAUGGAUAGAGUUUAAGAGUCGGCGCAAGUGCACCUGCAAAGGGCUGCUUGCUCUCCCCCACUCCAACCUGCACCCAGUCCCCCUUUGUAGGGAUGUCACGCUCAGCUGUCCCGCCCUUCAGCGUUGGGGCCACAGCCCCAGAGGCUCUGUCUCUUCUCCACCAGCGCCUGUUGUUGGCAGAGGAAGAGGCUGAAGCUCUUAUUCAAGACAUGGGUGUACUGGGGGUGUCCAGGGACCAAAUCUUGGGAUCUGCUGAGAGAAUGGGCGCCACUCAACGGCCUAUAAGUCCUUUGAAGAUGCGUCGGGUCUUUGGGGAUGAGGGCAUGCUUUGUGACUCUGUAGUGAGCAGGGUGUGUCGCAUGGAAAGUCUGCUACAGACCCUCAAACUCACCAUCUUCCGUCUGGAGACUGAGAAAGAAUUGGAUCCCUCUCACACAGCUCAUCUGAAGCAGCAGCUGGCAGCGCUGCAGCGGCAGAGUGAGGAGGAGCAUCACACCACCAGGAGGGAGGCGAUGAAGCUCAGGGACCAACUUCAGCAGGCUUACCAGGAGAGAGACGAAGCUCGCACAGAGGUGCAGAGGCUGGGGGACACAGUGGAGGCAGCUACUGCUGCCAAAAUGGAUGUGGCUCUCGCUGCUGAGGAACUGAAGAUUGUCAAAUUAGAGAUGAGUCAGAGACUGAAGGAGAUGAAAGAGCAGAUGAGGCAGGAGUCUGCCCGUUUAGCCGAAGCCACAAGAUCUCACAAUGAGCUUCACCAGCGGGUGGAGGAGAUGGAGAGAGUGGUGGAAAUGCAGAGGAGACAGGCUCUGCUGCUGCAGUCGGAUUGCCAUGCCUUGCAUGUGGAAGUCCAGACCGGCCAGCGGCAACUGGAGGAAGCGAAUGACAGAGGCAGACAGCUGGACGAGCACUGUCAGCGGCUCAAAGACCAGACAGAAAUGAAGGACUCCCUCAUGUCUGAGUUGAAAACUGACCUGAAAAGUGUUUGUCAGGCCCUUCAGAGGCAGCAGACAGAAAACAGUAAACUGCUGAAGGAGGGCACAGAGUUGAGAGCUGCUGCUGACAGAGUCCAGACCCUGAAUAAGCAGCUGCAGAGUCAGUGUACCCAGCUCAGUUCUGCCCUGCAUUCACUCACAGAGGAGAAUGAAAAACAUCAGGCCAGCUUAAAGGCCGAGAUGAGUCGUGUGGUCAAGCAACUGCAAGAGCGAGACCUGCAGCUGGGCGCCAAUAUUCAGACUGAGCUGCAGGUGGCACUAACACAUAAAGUUAGUCUGCAGCUGGAGCUAGAGAGGCUCAAAGGCGAACAUGCAAAGCUCCUGCAGAGCUCCUCCAUUGCACAAGAGACAGUGGCCACUCAGAGGGAACUACUGGAGCGAACCACUGAGAGGCUACGGGGGGAGCUGAACAUGGCCAAAAAAGAAGAGGGGGCAAUGAGGAAAGACCUGGAGGAUUCAAAAAAUGAGUUAUGUCUUGUUGUCACUAAGUUGGAAGGUGAGAGGAGCAGCCUGGAGACCCAACUUAGUGAGGCCAAGUGGGAGGUGGGAUCUCUGUGCUCAGUCUUGCAGAGCCAGCAGGAUGAGAACAGGAGGCUCAUGGGAAAGGUGGCUGCUUUAGAGCAGCAACAGCAUGCGGUGCAACAGGUGGACCAGAUGCUGAAGGACUUAACUGACAAGAAUAAGCCGGCCUGUGAGAAAGGGAAACUUAAGAUCAGUGAGCUGGAGGCUGUCUGUGGUCCUGGAGGGGGUGUUGUCAGUCAAACCCUUGAAGACAUCCUAGCCUCCCAUACCAGAAUCCAGCUCAACGGUCAGACCCUGGGGCGAGAGCAGGAGCAGAAAGACAGGCUGCAGGCUCAGAGAGAAAUCCGGAAACACCAAGCAGAGGUGGAAAAACUCCAGCAACUCCUGACAUCUACUCACUCCAAGAGCAACAGAGCUCUGGAAUCCUUACAGAAGGCCCUGGAUAAAGCCAAAGCUGACAACAAGAGGCUCGCCCAGAGUGUGGAGCAGGCUGUGUUUACCAACAGCAGUUUACACAGCAAACUGGAGCAGGCCAGAGACCAGUACCAGGCCACCAUCACACUAAGAGAUGAAGAGCUACACGUGGCUCGGACAAAGAUUGGUCGUUUGUCUGAAGAGCUGGGCGCCAUAAAGCAACGAAUGAGGGGAGAAUAUGACUCUUCAAUGAGGAGGCUGCAUCGAGAAAUCACAGAGCUAAAAAUGACAGUUAAGGACUCGUCAACCGGGUCAGGCGACCUGUCCAAAGCCAACCAAGAGCUCCGCCAGCAGGUGUCUGAGCUGGAGCAGCAGGUGUCCAAACAGAAGGCUCGUAUCAGAGAAGAGAGGAGGCAGCGACAGAAGAGCAGAGAUUCACAGGACAACUCUCAGAAAGUCGAAGUAAUGUUCCCCUGCACACCGUAAUAAUAAAGAUGCUUCCUCAAUGAACUACUGUUAAAUUAUCAAACACAACUGAUGAUGUCACCUAAACUGAUUUAAUGUGGUUCUGUGAACUUUCAGUGUCCUGUAAUGGUUAAAAUGUCGUUUCAGUCAUCUCCAACCUGACGUGAUUACAAUUCUGGAGGAUACACUGAAUUAUUUUUUAAUUAUCUAACAGCUCAGAUUUGAAGCCCUUAAAUAUUGGCACAAAAUGACAGCUUUUGAUAGCGUUCAUUUAGAAUAUUCAUUAUAAGAUUGAGGCUUGUAUUGUCCUUAAAAACCCUUUCUUGUUAAGUCCUAGUACAGAGAGAGGAGAUAAGGUUGGGACCAUGUGUGAGGCAAGGCCAGGACAGAGCAUCAAGAAUAUUGAGGAGCAAGAGGACAGUAAGCUCCCGCAGGACGGGAUGGACUCCCA